rnacentral:lncRNA from 1 species
GGGCUGCUGUGAUAGCUGCAAGCACUGAAGCCAGGAGGACUCAGAAACGGUCCCUUCUUUGCUAUUUACCAAGACGCAUCUGAGUUAUGCAAAUUUCAUGAUCAAACAAAUGUACGCUGCACACUGUUUCCUUACACGGAAGCGUGUCUGCAGGAAGCAGAUUUGGCUACAGCAGCCGCACUCACCGACGGGCGCUUCUGCCAGUUAAUUUGGGCAGGUCGUCUUCACAUGCAGCUAUCAUGGGCCUUUGGAUAAUUUCUUCACAUCUGAUCUGACCAAGAACUUGUGUUUUACUUAAUUCAGCUGUGAUUCAAAGCUGGGUAAUUUGGGAUUCUGCUGCUUUCAGACCAAAACACUGAAGAUUCAGCCAUGGGAGACCCAGAACCAAGUGGUCUGGACAAUCAAGAGAGGACACCUGAAAAUAGGAAGCGGUACAGUGAGAUAUUCCGGAGCCUGGAUGCCAUAGAAAUCUCAAUUGGAAAUGCGACAGUUGAUAUGUUCGUUGGUGAUGCUGACAGCACUGAUGACACAGACCUGACCACAGAAAAAGAGGUUGUUCCGGUAGGCAAAGAAUGAAAUCCAUUUUAU